GAUGAAGAACGCAGUGAAAUGCGAUAAGUAAUGUGAAUUGCAGAGUUCAGUGAAUCAUCGAGUCUUUGAACGCACAUUGCGCCCUCUGGUAUUCCGGAGGGCAUGCCUGUCCGAGCGUCAUUGCUGCCCUCAAGCACGGCUUGUGUGUUGGGCCCCGCCCCCCGAUCCCGGGGGGCGGGCCCGAAAGGCAGCGGCGGCACCGCGUCCGGUCCUCGAGCGUAUGGGGCUUUGUCACCCGCUCUGUAGGCCCGGCCGGCGCCUGCCGAUCAACCAAACUUUUUUCCAGGUUGACCUCGGAUCAGGUAGGGAUAACCGCUGAACUUAAGCAUAUCAAUAAGCGGAGGA
rnacentral:misc_RNA from 1 species